rnacentral:rRNA from 1 species
GAUGAACGCUGGCGGCGUGCUUAACACAUGCAAGUCGAACGAAGCACUUUAUUUUAUUUUCUUCGGGUCUGAUUAUUUUGUGACUGAGUGGCGGACGGGUGAGUAACGCGUGGGUAACCUGCCUUUUACAGGGGGUUAACAGUUGGACACAGCUGCUAAUGCCGCAUAAGCUCACCGCAUAACAUGCUGCUGUGUGAAAACCUCCUGUGGUGUAGGAUGGUUCCGUGUUGGAUUAGCUAGUGGGUGAGGUAACGGCCCACCAAGGCGACGAGCCAUAGCCGAACUGAGAGGGUGACCGGCCACAUUGGGAGUGAGACACGGCCCAAACUCCUACGGGAGGAAGGAGUGGGGAAUAAUGAACAAUGGGCGAAAGCCUGAGGCAGCGACGCCGCGUGAGCGAAGAAGUAGUGCGGUAUGUAAAGCUGUAUCAGCAGGGAAGAUAAUGACGGUACCUGACUAAGAAGCACCGGCUAAAUACGUG